rnacentral:rRNA from 1 species
CAGCCGCCGCGGGAAUACGAAGGGUGCAAGCGUUAAUCGGAAUUACUGGGCGUAAAGCGUGCGUAGGCGGUGAGUUAAGUCUGCUGUGAAAUCCCCGGGCUCAACCUGGGAAUGGCAGUGGAUACUGGCUCGCUAGAGUGUGUCAGAGGAUGGUGGAAUUCCCGGUGUAGCUGUGAAAUGCGUAGAGAUCGGGAGGAACAUCAGUGGCGAAGGCGGCCAUCUGGGACAACACUGACGCUGAGGCACGAAAGCGUGGGGAGCAAACAGGAUUAGAUACCCGGGUAGUCCCUGUCUCUUAUAC